rnacentral:lncRNA from 1 species
CCAGCCCAAUACAUGAGAGGGGGACAAUAUAAGAAUUAAUGAAGCUGUCACUAUCACGAACCACCCCACGAUCUGGCAUAUUGGGUACAAUCGCAGAUAAAUACGGUAUAAGCACCACGCCUACACAAUAUCUAUCAUUUACCCAUGGAUCCGAUGGAUAAACGCUAUACGAUCCUAAGCAUGUGUAUAGAUCGAAUCUAACUAAGCCAAGUACAUAACUAUGAUAAACUAAGAACAACAUAAUCUUGAAUA